rnacentral:rRNA from 1 species
AACCUCCGCAAUGUGAGAAAUCGCGACGGGGGGAUCCCAAGUGCCAUUCUUAACGGGAUGGCUUUUCAUUAGUGUAAAGAGCUUUUGGAAUAAGGGCUGGGCAAGACCGGUGCCAGCCGCCGCGGUAACACCGGCAGCUCUAGUGGUAGCAGUUUUUAUUGGGCCUAAAGCGUCCGUAGCCGGUUUAAUAAGUCUCUGGUGAAAUCCUGUAGCUUAACUGUGGGAAUUGCUGGAGAUACUAUUAGACUUGAGAUCGGGAGAGGUUAGAGGUACUCCCAGGGUAGAGGUGAAAUUCUGUAAUCCUGGGAGGACCGCCUGUUGCGAAGGCUUCUAACUGGAACGAUUCUGACGGUGAGGGACGAAAGUUAGGGGCGCGAACCGGAUUAGAUACCCGGGUAGUCCUAACUGUAAACGAUGCGGACUUGGUGUUGGGGUGGCUUUGAGCUGCUCCGGUGCCGAAGGGAAGCUGUUAAGUCCGCCGCCUGGGAAGUACGGUCGCAAGACUGAAACUUAAAGGAAUU